GUGGAAGCCGAGACUUAAAGAAGCUAUGAAACUUGAUCAGGUCAUGCAGCGCCAGAGGACCCAAGGUGGGAUCUCAACCCAGACUGUUUGGCUCCAAAGCUGAACUGCUACAUUAUGUUGCUUCAGCAAACAGUCAUUCAGAACCUCAGCUACCGCCGUGACUUUGGGUGCAAACCUGUCUGAAGCCUGUUGGUGAAGCUCUGCCCAGCUAUGAAGAAGCACAGAUCUGCCUGCCUCCCUUGGAAGGCUCAGACUCUUUUUCUGGAAGGCCUACCUUCUCAUCCUUUGGCAGUUGGGGGAACUGAAGCACAGUGAGGGAGAUAAGCGUGCCAUACAAUGAGAGGACAGAGCUCAGCGCUCUUCACUCAUCUGCCUGUGGGAAAGAGCCAGUUCUAGGGGUGGGGAUCAUGAAGGAGCACCCUACUUCCCUGUCCUUGUCACAUCCCAUGGCCAGUAGCCAUGUACUUUUUCCUCCUUUUUCUCUUGCCCAGCAAAUACAGGCUCCAGCUGCAGCCACUUUGAAGAUAAAGUUUCCUCCAUAGAAAUUCUGCAAUACAGAUGUCCUUCCGCGGUCCCCGUUCAGUCCUGCACCAGUUCCUUUUCCCACUGGGAAAUUUCUUUCCUCUUCCUACUUCCAUGCAACUGCGAGGCAAGGCUCAAGCCCACUUCCUUCUCCUUUUCCUGUGUCUCCCUGUGGAAGGAGCUCCCUCUUCUUCACAGCUCCAGGCUCUUCCCUACUCUGGCCCAACCUUAUGGGUAUUUUGCUCCAUAACUCUCCUCAAUCUGAACUGCUUCUGAUUUCUCUCAAGUCAUGUCGGGGAAUCUCACAAAUGCAUUCUGAGAAAUACAAGAAUGCCUGAGAUGUUCUAGGCAGAAAAGAUUCCAGGAUCAAAACAUUUGGGAAAAGCUUCACAUCUCUCCUUAGAAAUGAACAAGGCAUAGUCAUCAAGCAUCUGAAAAGUCCUGCAGUCAGGAAACCUACCUUGUUUGUUUUUUAACCCAGUAUUUCCCAAACUAAGAUGGCCAUGAUUUCAUCUCCUCCAUCCCCACUGACUCCUAUAACAACAUGUAGAACCAGCGAUCCACUGUGGAACACACUUUGGGAAACACUGUCCCCAGCCCUCCAAGAAGGCAUAGAGUUGACCUUGCCUUCAUUGAUUUAAACCCUUCCUGUUUCUCUGGGCUAUUUACUUAUUAUCUCACAUACAAAAUAAUCUAAGGUGAUGUCUGCCCAAUUGGAUUUUUAGGAAAGACAUACCCGAUGGGAAUGAAGAUUUUCUUAGCAGGAUUUGAUGAGCCCA
rnacentral:lncRNA from 1 species